rnacentral:tRNA from 1 species
GCGAGAGUGGCGGAAUUGGUAGACGCACUGGAUUUAGGAUCCAGCGCUUUAUGCGUAGGAGUUCAACUCUCCUCUCUCGCACCA